AAGGUUUUAAGUUAAUUAAACUAAUAAUCUUCAAAAUUAUAUAUAAAGAAAAAUUUCUUUAAGCCUUA
rnacentral:tRNA from 14 species